rnacentral:rRNA from 1 species
UGGGGAAUAUUGCACAAUGGGGGAAACCCUGAUGCAGCGACGCCGCGUGAGCGAAGAAGGUUUUCGAAUCGUAAAGCUCUGUCCUAUGAGAAGAUAAUGACGGUAUCAUAGGAGGAAGCCCCGGCUAAAUACGUGUCAGCAGCCGCGGUAAUACGUAUGGGGCGAGCGUUGUCCGGAAUUAUUGGGCGUAAAGGGUACGUAGGCGGUCUAUUAAGUCAGGUGUGAAAGCGUGAGGCUUAACCUCAUUAAGCACUUGAAACUGAUAGACUUGAGUGAAGGAGAGGAAAGUGGAAUUCCUAGUGUAGCGAUGAAAUGCGUAGAUAUUAGGAGGAAUACCGGUGGCGAAGGCGACUUUCUGGACUUUUACUGACGCUCAGGUACGAAAGCGUGGGGAGCAAACAGG